rnacentral:misc_RNA from 1 species
GGAAGUAAAAAAUCGUAACAAGGUCUCCGUUGGUGAACCAGCGGAGGGAUCAUUACAAGAGUAGCCCUAGGCUCUCCAACCCACUGUGAACAUACCUACGUUCCCCCGGCGGGCUCAGCGCGCGGUGCCUCCGGGCGCCGGGCGUCCGCCGAGGGCCCCCAAACUCGAAUUUAUUACGUGUAUAUCUGAGGGGCGAAAGCCUGUAAAAAUAAAUCAAAACUUUCAACAACGGAUCUCUUGGCUCUGGCAUCGAUGAAGAACGCAGCGAAAUGCGAUAAGUAAUGUGAAUUGCAGAAUUCAGUGAAUCAUCGAAUCUUUGAACGCACAUUGCGCCCGCCGGCACUCCGGCGGGCAUGCCUGUCCGAGCGUCAUUUCAACCCUCAGGCCCUCCCUUCCGGGGGACGGGCCUGGUGUUGGGGCUCGGGGUCCGCAAGGCCCCCGUCCCCUAAACCCAGUGGCGGUCGCGCUGUAAUCCCCUGCGUAGUAACACACCUCGCACCGGAGACCAGCUCGGCCACGCCGUAAAACACCCCAAUUUUACCAAGGUGACCUCGGAUCAGUA